rnacentral:lncRNA from 1 species
CCAUCCUCCUCUCCUGCCUCCCACGGGAGGGCUUGGGCUCUUCGGGCGCUCCACCAAGGACCGGGUGCUAUUUGGCUAACCUUUGAGUCCUCACACGGACCCGAGGAGACGUGGGCUUCGCCCCAGCAGGUUGGUGACCUCCGUCCCCCCAGUGAAGUCUCGCGAGUCUGCUGGGAAUUUAACCUCUGUCGAGGGGAGCAGCAGAAAGCUGACUGCAGUGGGUUGGGUGUUUUUUUUUAAUUAGGCUGGUGCUGGGCAGCUGUCACUCCUUCUGAUUAAGCUGCCCAGUGUAAUUUGCUGAGGCCAGAGGCCAAGGUCAGUCCCCAAAGCCCAGAGCAGCCCAGCUGGCUGUCCUCAUACUUUAUUCCUCAUUUAGGAGCGGCUGUGCCCUGGAAACCAAGUGGACAAGAGCUCUGUGUUCUCUCGCCAAGGAGGACCCCUUUUCCAUAGAACUUCCAUUUUGGGCUUGGCUGCCUAGCUGGACCCCUGCUGAUGACCUUUAACUUGAGGAAACACAAAUGUAGCUCAGCCUCCAAAUCAAGCAGGUCCUUUGAAUGAAGGGACUGAUCAGGGACCAGACAAACAAAGGGCUCUGAGCUGAAUCUAUGGAAAGCCGGUUGAGAGAUGGCCUCAGAGCCAAAAAGAUCCCAGUUCAUGUUCUGCCUCUGACAUGUACUGACCGGGUGACCCCGGGUACAAGUAGGAUUUAAUCAGAUUGAAUAUUCACCCCAGACUGGGUCCUGGACAAGGCUGAGACACAUCACUUUUUCCUGGGAAUGGUUUUUCUGGCAGAUUGAAGUUCUGGUAAAAACUAGCCAAUCAGUUGAUUGAACAUCAUGGAUUCUGUGGGGACCCUGCUUGGGACAUACUCUGAUCAUCCCCUUGGCUCUGUAUUAUUCAAAUUGGAAACCGUGAGGGCAAAAGCAGUACUAAAGAGGCAUAAAGCAAGGAGCCUGAGUGACUUCUGA